UACGUAGGGUGCGAGCGUUUAAUCGGAAUUACUGGGCGUAAAGCGUGCGCAGGCGGUAAGUUAAGUCUGAUGUGAAAGCCCCGGGCUUAACCUGGGAACUGCGAUGGAAACUAGCGAGCUGGAGUGUGGCAGAGGGGGGUGGAAUUCCGCGUGUAGCAGUGAAAUGCGUAGAGAUGCGGAGGAACACCGAUGGCGAAGGCAGCCCCCUGGGCUAACACUGACGCUCAGGCACGAAAGCGUGGGGAGCAAACAGG
rnacentral:rRNA from 1 species